rnacentral:rRNA from 1 species
CUGGUCCAGGAACCAAAUUCUUUAAUUGCUCAAAUUUUGAAGGCAGUGUAUUAUCCUAAUGGUGAUUUCCUAGAUGCGGAAUUGGGUUCUAGGCCUUCACAAAUAUGGGGGUCAAUUGUGGAGGGGAGAGAUGUGCUCAAACAAGGCUUGGUCAGAAGAAUUGGAGAUGGGAGAACUACACAUAUUUGGAAUGAUCACUGGUUACCAAGGGAGAAUAUGAUGAGACCGAUCGCAACAAGGCAGCAAGACAGACCAGAUAUGGUGUCAAAAUUAAUUGAUCGAGCAAAUAAAACUUGGAACCAGAACAUGUUAGAUCUGCACCUACUCCCAAUGGACACUGAUCUGGUCCGUGGCAUCACUUUGCCUACAAUGAACAUGAGAUAUUUGGGGGGCUGGAGUUUGGAGAAGUCUGGCGAGUUUUCGGUUAGAUAUGCAUACCAUAUGCUUAUCCACACAAAAAAGAGAAGAGAAGCGUGGUUGGAAGGCAACGCGGGUAUAUCAAAUUUAUUAAAGGAAGAGAAUGCUUGGGAAAAAAUGUGGAAGUAUAAAUUGCCUUCCAAGGUGAAAGUUUUGCGUGGAGGCUAG